UUUACCACAGGAUUAAACAUUUACAUUUUCCUCCUGACUUGAUCCCUGCAGAGUUUGGAAACUCUUAAGAAUUCUUUCCACAACACUAAGUGUUUGCAUGAGUUUAGUAAGAGUCUGUUCUGCUUAUCACAGGAUACAGUUAGAAACAUUCGCUGUACUAACAGGGCUUUGACUGGAAUGUCGAGGAGCCGACCGCAGAAAUCAAGGACGAGGCAGGAGAGAGAGAUGGUGUGGGGUGAACCCAGGCACCCAACCUGGAGGAGAAGCUAAAGAUCCAGAAUAAACCGGCACAAUGACGACGGACCCCAGCGCUCAGGGGCUGUGAAAGCUGGUGGGCUCUCAGACGACCGUUCUGUUCUGCGCUCCAGCCCCACACGUCCCGUCAGCGGGAACUUGAAAGCCGUCCAGCCCGGCCCGGAGCUCUCACCAUCGUCCCCUUUCCAACCUUCUGCCUCGUCCGUCACAGAGGCCUCGUCUACCUGCAGAGUCGCUCCCCACCCCCAACCUGAAGAGACCACCAGAGACACGGGACGCUUGACCCCGCGGUGGGCUUGGAGUGAGCACGGGCCUGUCGCUCGUGGAACGGUCUCUCCGUCCCUGGAGGCAUAAACCCCCAGGAGGAGUUGGACAUCGGCUGGGGAGGGCACGUCUCUGCCUGGGCUCCGAGCCCACCAGGAGCGGGGCUGCGGGGCUGCCUAGCGUGGUGGGAGGCGGGUGGGGGUGCCGGGCGGACCCCAAGGGAGAAAGGAAGAGAGUCCCGACUCCUUUCUCGGGUAAAGGGGCAGACAAGGCACGGCUCUGACUAAAUGACUCCCGGAGGCUCCACCUGGUUCUCGAAACCGAGGAAAGAGGGAAUGGAGCAUCUUUACCAAGAGGAGGCAGCUCAGACCACGGCACCCUUAGGAGCGGCCCUGGGCUCAGGGUCAGCCGGGCCGCCUCAGCCCCCACAGGCAUCGUCACAGGGUGGACAGGGGGCUGGUGAGCGGCGGUGGCUGCCCUCCUCGCCACUCGAGAGCAUUUGGAUGGUGUCCAAAAAUGUGGAGCUACAGCCUCAGGAACUUUCAUAGCAGACACGGGCUGACACCUGAUAUGUGCGACUACUGCCCGUGUAGACGCUCACACAGUGCCCUGAUGUGGCGGCUGUUUGCCCGUGUAGACGCUCACACAGAGCCCUGAUGUGGCGGCUGUUUGCCCGUGUAGACGCUCACACAUGCCCUGAUGUGACUGUUGGUCCAUGUAGAUGCUCACAGGCCCCCUGCCCCUGUGCCUGCCCUCUAGGGUGGAAUAUCCACAUGCACUCCAGGCCCACGUUGGGGUGAUACCGACCCUGAUAUCAGUUGCUGUCCAUUAAACCCAGAAUAUAUGGGGUUAAAACCAAAACACUCAUUCCCUGCUUACUCCCGGGCUUCCUGGCUCCAGAAUCCGCUAUCUUCCAUGGAGACAGACACCGUCAAGGACAAGCACCUGG
rnacentral:lncRNA from 1 species